rnacentral:rRNA from 1 species
AGCUCCAAUAGCGUAUAUUAAAGUUGUUGCAGUUAAAAAGCUCGUAGUUGGAUUUCUGGCUGUGCGCAGCGUGUCCGCGUUCCAGAAGGGAUGUGUGUACGCGCGGCGUCGGUCAAACUUUCUGGAUGUCCGCGGGGCUCUUGAUUGAGUGUUCGUCGGUUUUACGUCCAGAUCAUUUACUUUGAGAAAAUUAGAGUGUUCAAGGCAGGCAUGAGUUGCCGUGAAUAUAUUAGCAUGGAAUAAUAAGAUAGGACUUUGGUCGUAUUUUGUUGGUUUCUACAGCCGAAGUAAUGAUUGAUAGGGAUAGUUGGGGGUGCUAGUAUUCUGCGGCCAGAGGUGAAAUUCUGUGAUUCGCGGAGGACUGACUUAUGCGAAAGCAUUCACCAAGGAUGUCUUCUUU